rnacentral:rRNA from 1 species
UACGUAGGGGGCUAGCGUUGUCCGGAAUCAUUGGGCGUAAAGCGCGUGUAGGCGGUCCGGUAAGUCCGCUGUGAAAGUCGGGGGCUCAACCCUCGGAUGCCGGUGGAUACUGUUGGGCUUGAGUACGGAAGAGGCGAGUGGAAUUCCUGGUGUAGCGGUGAAAUGCGCAGAUAUCAGGAGGAACACCGGUGGCGAAGGCGGUUCUCUGGGCCUGCACUGACGCUCAUGCACGAAAGCGUGGGGAGCAAACAGG